rnacentral:tRNA from 1 species
GCGGGGUGGAGCAGUUCGGUAGCUCGCUGGGCUCAUAACCCAGAGGUCGCAGGUUCAAAUCCUGUCCCCGCUACCA